AACUUUUAGCAAUGGAUCUCUUGGCUCUCGCAUCGAUGAAGAACGCAGCGAAUUGCGAUAUGUAAUGUGAAUUGCAGAAUUCAGUGAAUCAUCGAAUCUUUGAACGCACCUUGCGCCCUUUGGUAUUCCGAAGGACAUGCCUGUUUGAGUGUCA
rnacentral:rRNA from 1 species